CAAUAGCGUAUAUUUAAGUUGCUGCAGUUAAAAAGCUCGUAGUUGGAUUUCGGGUGGGAAUGGCCGGUCCGCCGUUUCGGUGUGCACUUGCUACGCCCACCUUGCUGCCGGGGACGUGCUCUUGAGUUCACGCUCGGGACACGGAGUCGGCGAGGUUACUUUGAGUAAAUUAGAGUGUUCAAAGCAGGCCUACGCUCUGAAUACAUUAGCAUGGAAUAACACGAUAGGACUCUGGCUUAUCUUGUUGGUCUGUGAGACCAGAGUAAUGAUUAAGAGGGACAGUCGGGGACAUUCGUAUUUCAUUGUCAGAGGUGAAAUUCUUGGAUUUAUGAAAGACGAACUUCUGCGAAAGCAUUUGCCAAGGAUGUUUUCAUUAA
rnacentral:rRNA from 1 species